UCCUGUAAUGGUUUACUUUGUUUAGCUGAUUCACUUUACAAUGAUGCUGUCUAUGUUUACAAUCCUUUCACUACGAAACAUAUAGAGCUCCCAAAAUCGCUGAAAUAUCCUGACCAAGAAGUGGUUUUUGGGUUCGGAUUCCAUCCCAAAACUCAGGAAUACAAGGUAGAGCAAUACAAAGUAGUAAAAAUUGUUUACUACAGGAAUAGUCAUAGUGGCUACCCUCGAGCCCGUAGGCUCGUCUAUCCGCAAUCUGAAGUCCAAAUUUUAACUUUAGGCAGCCCCAAAUGGCGGAGUCUGGGCAAGAUACCAUUCCAGCUCGUUCGCCGCCCCUCGGAGGCCCUGGUUAAUGGAAGACUUCAUUGGGUUAGUCGACACCGUAGAUAUAACCCUGCUCGGCUGCUAGUCUCACUUGACUUGGCUGAUGAACAAUUCCGGGAAGUCCCGAAGCCGGACAGCGGUAGCCUAAGUAGACGCAACUAUCAUCUUGCGGUGUUAAGAGGGUGCCUUUCUGCUGCCGUUUAUUGCAGCUAUGGAAGAUUGGAGAUUUGGGUAAUGAAAGAGUAUAAUGUGAAGGAGUCUUGGGUGAAGGAAUACAGUAUUGGAACUUACAUGCCAAAAGGUUUGAAGCAAAAUCUUGAUAGGCCUUCCAAAAUUUGGAAGAGUGCUUUGAAUGGAAGAGUUGUUAGAGUUUUGGGCCUUCUGCAGAAUGGAGAGGUUUUGUUGGAGUACAAAAGCAGAGUUCUUGUUACUUAUGACCCAAAUCUUGGAAAGUUUAAGGACCUUACAUUACAAGGGACACCAAAAUGGUUUCAAACCGUGGUUCAUGUAGGCAGUCUCAGUUGGAUUAAUACUACCAUUCAUACAUAGAAGUGGAUGAUGAUUUCUUCUCCUGUAAGUUAAUUUGCUCCUUAUGCCUAAGAACCUUAAUUAAUGUUUCUGUAUUGAUUAGUUUAGUGUUUUCAUACCAAGUUAACUCCAUGCUUAAUCAAUUAACUCCUUGCUUGUAUAGAUGAAACUCAAUUCAUUACUAGAA
rnacentral:misc_RNA from 1 species